rnacentral:rRNA from 1 species
GAUGAACGCUGGCGGCAUGCCUAACACAUGCAAGUCGGGCGGACAGACGUGGUUCUUGUUCCUCUCGCGUGAGCAGCGCGCGGGAACGUACCCCGUGGAGGGGCUCCCUAUCUGACAGGGAUAACUUCUACCAACCGGAGCUAAUAGCGAAUAAUAUAUUCCGCCCCAUGGUUGGCUAGCGUAUGAUUGUUUUGCUGUUGAUUCUAUAUCUUUCCGCGCCGCUUUAGCUAGUUGGUAAGGUAACGGCUUACCAACGCGACGAGGCUUAGCCGACCUCAGAGAGUGAUCGGCGACAGUGGAAGUGAGAGACGGUCCAGACUCCUACGGGAGGCAGCAGUAGGGAAUCUUCCGCAAUAGGCGAAAGGAUGACGGAGCAACGCGGCGUGAGUGAUGAAGGCAAUCGGGUCGGAAAACUGUGUUACUAGGGAUGAACAAAUGUGUAAGUCACUAAGGACGUAUUGACGGUACCUGGUGAAAAAGCAACGGCUAACUACGUG